rnacentral:rRNA from 1 species
AUACCGCAUGAAGCAGGGCCCCCGCAUGGGGAUAUUUGCUAAAGAUUCAUCGCUGAUAGAUAGGCAUGCGUUCCAUUAGGCAGUUGGCGGGGUAACGGCCCACCAAACCGACGAUGGAUAGGGGUUCUGAGAGGAAGGUCCCCCACAUUGGUACUGAGACACGGACCAAACUCCUACGGGAGGCAGCAGUGAGGAAUAUUGGUCAAUGGGCGUAAGCCUGAACCAGCCAAGUCGCGUGAGGGAUGAAGGUUCUAUGGAUCGUAAACCUCUUUUAUAAGGGAAUAAAGUGUGGGACGUGUCCUAUUAUGUAUGUACCUUAGAAUAAGGAUCGGCAACUC